ACAUGUUCAUGCUUCAUUAUAUUUCACUUGUUUUAUUUUGUAUUAGAAUAGUGUAAUAUGAGAGAAGCUGGAGUAAUUGGAAAUAUAAUUUGUAGGUUUGUGGGUAACGAGUCCACGCUGACAUAGGAGAGUGAGCGGACGUCAGACACACAGAGGGGUGGUGUUUGAAGGGCGUGCGUGUGCAGCUGCCUUAUUUAACCCGGAUUUUCUCUCAAGACGGUGACACGUGCCAGUGGAAGCUUAAUGGCUGCCGGAAGGUGGUCGUGAGGGCCAGAAACACUUAUAAUAUUGACAAAUGACCCACCUGCUGCUUGGCCAGCUGGCGGACUGGUCACAGACGCCAUGGUGCAAUAGGAGACUACCCCAUCCCCUGCCUCCCGCCCUGCCCCACCCAGACACCAUGGCCCGGCAGCGACACCAUUCCACCUGCUACAUGAUGCUGGCUGACGCACUCCUGACGUGGCAGCGACAGGAGGCGGAGGGCAGGAGCAAGAGUCGGAUGGUGAAGAAAGGCGUGAUGGCGGAGGUGGUGGCUGUGGAGGGUGUUCGUGCAGGGUACCUCGGCAGGGUCUAGGUUUGCAGUAAACCUCCCUGAAGGUUCCAGAGCUGGUCAGCAGGUGCCCAGUCCAGGCUGUCACAAGACUGUGUGAUGGUGGACCUUCCACUGAUACUCACUGAAAACAGCUGUGCACUGCCACUCACAGGAAAUGGGCCUGAUGUGAAGGUGUCUGCAGCCAGUGUUUGGUGUCCUCUGUGCCUGCCUGGUGGUGCCUCAUUGCAGGGCCUGAUGUGAAGGUGUCUGCAGCCAGUGGUGGUGCCUCAUUGCAGGGCCUGAUGUGAAGGUGUCUGCAGCCAGUGGUGGUGCCUCAUUGCAGGGCUGAUGUGAAGGUGUCUGCAGCCAGUGGUGGUGCCUCAUUGCAGGGCUGAUGUGAAGGUGUCUGCAGCCAGUGGUGGGUGUCCUCUGUGCCUGGUGGUGCCUCAUUGCAGGGCUGAUGUGAAGGUGUCUGCAGCCAGUGGUGGGUGUCCUCUGUGCCUGGUGGUGCCUCAUUGCAGGGCUGAUGUGAAGGUGUCUGCAGCCAGUGGUGGGUGUCCUCUCUUCCUGGUGGUGCAGCCUGAUGUGUUGCCUGCUUCAGUGUAAAUCUUGCAAGCCAGAUCUGCCAGCUGUCUCCAGUGUAGUAGUCUAGGGUGCUUUGCUUUGUGUCUUUGGCAAUAAAUAAAUUUGUGAGUAUCAUUCUCAUGUGAAUUAUAUAGUUUGAUAAAAUUACAGAAUGUGCUUGUGUAAACUAAAUUUAUAUAUUGGUGGUAAACAAUUCAUGCAUCCCCAAGUAAAUAAAUAAAAUAAAAUAGGACCCAAAACAAUAGAUACAAUAGAUCAUCCUCUGGUCAAAAAAAAAAAAAAGCCAGGAUUGGCUGGCCUAUUUUUGGUUAA